rnacentral:rRNA from 1 species
UACGGAGGAGGCAAGCGUUAUCCGGAAUUAUUGGGCGUAAAGCGUCCGCAGGUGGCUUAUCAAGUCUGCUGUCAAAGACUGGGGCUUAACCCUGGAAAGGCCGUGGAAACUGAAGAGCUAGAGUGCAGUAGGGGUAGAGGGAAUUCCCGGUGUAGCGGUGAAAUGCGUAGAGCUCGGGAAGAACAUCGGUGGCGAAAGCGCUCUGCUGGACUGCAACUGACACUCAGGGACGAAAGCUAGGGGAGCGAAUGGG